UACGAAGGGGGCUAGCGUUGUUCGGAAUUACUAGGCGUAAAGCGCGCGCAGGCGGUCUUCCAAGUCAGUGGUGAAAGCCCGGAGCUCAACUCCGGAAUUGCCAUUGAAACUGUUGGACUUGAGGAUGAGAGAGGUGAGUGGAAUUCCCAGUGUAGAGGUGAAAUUCGUAGAUAUUGGGAAGAACACCGGUGGCGAAGGCGGCUCACUGGCUCAUUACUGACACUGAGGGACGAAAGCGUGGGGAGCAAACAGG
rnacentral:rRNA from 1 species